rnacentral:tRNA from 1 species
GCCGGGGUCGCCUAGCCUGGUCUAGGGCGCCGGACUCAUAAUGCGGGAGUUUCCCGGGUUCGAAUCCCGGCCCCGGCA